CCGUACACCAAAAUGCACAGGUUGUGAACUCGAAGAGUAGGGCGGGACACGUGGUAUCCUGUCUGAAUAUGGGGGGACCAUCCUCCAAGGCUAAAUACUCCUGACUGACCGAUAGUGAACCAGUACCGUGAGGGAAAGGCGAAAAGAACCCCGGCGAGGGGAGUGAAAAAGAACCUGAAACCGUGUACGUACAAGCAGUGGGAGCACCUUCGGGUGUGACUGCGUACCUUUUGUAUAAUGGGUCAGCGACUUAUAUUCUGUAGCAAGGUUAACCGUAUAGGGGAGCCGCAGGGAAACCGAGUCUUAACUGGGCGUUAAGUUGCAGGGUAUAGACCCGAAACCCGGUGAUCUAGCCAUGGGCAGGUUGAAGGUUGGGUAACACUAACUGGAGGACCGAACCGACUAAUGUUGAAAAAUUAGCGGAUGACUUGUGGCUGGGGGUGAAAGGCCAAUCAAACCGGGAGAUAGCUGGUUCUCCCCGAAAGCUAUUUAGGUAGCGCCUCGUGAACUCAUCUUCGGGGGUAGAGCACUGUUUCGGCUAGGGGGUCAUCCCGACUUACCAACCCGAUGCAAACUACGAAUACCGAAGAAUGUUAUCACGGGAGACACACGGCGGGUGCUAACGUCCGUCGUGAAGAGGGAAACAACCCAGACCGCCAGCUAAGGUCCCAAAGUCAUGGUUAAGUGGGAAACGAUGUGGGAAGGCACAGACAGCCAGGAUGUUGGCUUAGAAGCAGCCAUCAUUUAAAGAAAGCGUAAUAGCUCACUGGUCGAGUCGGCCUGCGCGGAAGAUGUAACGGGGCUAAACCAUGCACCGAAGCUGCGGCAGCGACACUAUGUGUUGUUGGGUAGGGGAGCGUUCUGUAAGCCUGCGAAGGUGUGCUGUGAGGCAUGCUGGAGGUAUCAGAAGUGCGAAUGCUGACAUAAGUAACGAUAAAGCGGGUGAAAAGCCCGCUCGCCGGAAGACCAAGGGUUCCUGUCCAACGUUAAUCGGGGCAGGGUGAGUCGACCCCUAAGGCGAGGCCGAAAGGCGUAGUCGAUGGGAAACAGGUUAAUAUUCCUGUACUUGGUGUUACUGCGAAGGGGGGACGGAGAAGGCUAUGUUAGCCGGGCGACGGUUGUCCCGGUUUAAGCAUGUAGGCUGGUUAUCCAGGCAAAUCCGGAUAAUCAAGGCUGAGGUGUGAUGACGAGGCACUACGGUGCUGAAGUAACAAAUGCCCUGCUUCCAGGAAAAGCCUCUAAGCAUCAGGUAACAUCAAAUCGUACCCCAAACCGACACAGGUGGUCAGGUAGAGAAUACCAAGGCGCUUGAGAGAACUCGGGUGAAGGAACUAGGCAAAAUGGUGCCGUAACUUCGGGAGAAGGCACGCUGGUGUGUAGGUGAAGUCCCUGCGGAUGGAGCUGAGACCAGUCGAAGAUACCAGCUGGCUGCAACUGUUUAUUAAAAACACAGCACUGUGCAAACACGAAAGUGGACGUAUACGGUGUGACGCCUGCCCGGUGCCGGAAGGUUAAUUGAUGGGGUUAUCCGUAAGGAGAAGCUCUUGAUCGAAGCCCCGGUAAACGGCGGCCGUAACUAUAACGGUCCUAAGGUAGCGAAAUUCCUUGUCGGGUAAGUUCCGACCUGCACGAAUGGCGUAAUGAUGGCCAGGCUGUCUCCACCCGAGACUCAGUGAAAUUGAACUCGCUGUGAAGAUGCAGUGUACCCGCGGCAAGACGGAAAGACCCCGUGAACCUUUACUAUAGCUUGACACUGAACAUUGAGCCUUGAUGUGUAGGAUAGGUGGGAGGCUUUGAAGCGUGGACGCCAGUCUGCGUGGAGCCAACCUUGAAAUACCACCCUUUAAUGUUUGAUGUUCUAACGUUGGCCCCUGACCGGGGUUGCGGACAGUGUCUGGUGGGUAGUUUGACUGGGGCGGUCUCCUCCCAAAGCGUAACGGAGGAGCACGAAGGUUAGCUAAUCCUGGUCGGACAUCAGGAGGUUAGUGCAAUGGCAUAAGCUAGCUUGACUGCGAGCGUGACGGCGCGAGCAGGUGCGAAAGCAGGUCAUAGUGAUCCGGUGGUUCUGAAUGGAAGGGCCAUCGCUCAACGGAUAAAAGGUACUCCGGGGAUAACAGGCUGAUACCGCCCAAGAGUUCAUAUCGACGGCGGUGUUUGGCACCUCGAUGUCGGCUCAUCACAUCCUGGGGCUGAAGUAGGUCCCAAGGGUAUGGCUGUUCGCCAUUUAAAGUGGUACGCGAGCUGGGUUUAGAACGUCGUGAGACAGUUCGGUCCCUAUCUGCCGUGGGCGCUGGAGAAUUGAGGGGGGCUGCUCCUAGUACGAGAGGACCGGAGUGGACGCAUCACUGGUGUUCGGGUUGUCAUGCCAAUGGCACUGCCCGGUAGCUAAAUGCGGAAGAGAUAAGUGCUGAAAGCAUCUAAGCACGAAACUUGCCCCGAGAUGAGUUCUCCCUGAGACUUUAAGUCUCCUGAAGGAACGUUGAAGACGACGACGUUGAUAGGCCGGGUGUGUAAGCGCAGCGAUGCGUUGAGCUAACCGGUACUAAUGAACCGUGAGGCUUAACCUU
rnacentral:rRNA from 1 species